AUUGAACGCUGGCGGCAUGCCUUACACAUGCAAGUCGAACGGUAACAGGUCUUCGGAUGCUGACGAGUGGCGAACGGGUGAGUAAUACAUCGGAACGUGCCCGAUCGUGGGGGAUAACGAAGCGAAAGCUUUGCUAAUACCGCAUAAGAUCUACGGAUGAAAGCAGGGGACCGCAAGGCCUUGCGCGAACGGAGCGGCCGAUGGCAGAUUAGGUAGUUGGUGGGAUAAAAGCUUACCAAGCCGACGAUCUGUAGCGGGUCUGAGAGGACGACCAGCAACACUGGGACUGAGACACGGCCCAGACUCCUACGGGAGGCAGCAGUGGGGAAUUUUGGACAAUGGGCGAAAGCCUGAUCCAGCCAUGCCGCGUGCAGGAUGAAGGCCUUCGGGUUGUAAACUGCUUUUGUACGGAACGAAAAGACUCUUUCUAAUAAAGAGGGUCCAUGACGGUACCGUAAGAAUAAGCACCGGCUAACUACGUGCCAGCCGCCGCCGUAA
rnacentral:rRNA from 1 species